GAUGGGUCACAGCACCAGGUCCUGCCAGAGAAAGGAAGCAAAAAUGUAAGUAGUGGGGCCAGUUGUACUGACUGUAAACAAGGACCAGGAUAAGGAGGCACCUUUUGACCCUAGAGGAUCUGAGGUCCUGUGUCUGGAACUCGUGAUAGCUGACUCAUGGCAAGGCUGCAUGGUGUGAGGAAGCAGGAAAACUGGGCAGAGUUGUGGGCUCAGAUCUUUACUCUGCUACUAACUCGGUCCCUGGCAUCCUGGACCUUUUUUGACCUCUUCUUCCUCAUGCAAGACAGGUUGAUAGCUCUCCAUCUGGGACUUGUGAUGACCUAAUCCAGUGUGAUCAUAAAUAUGCAAGAGCUUUGAACAAGUUGCAAAUAUUGUGCAAAUGUAAGGUACUAAGAUGUGGGUCCGGGCUAACCAUGGAGGGCAAAGGAGCUAUUGUUGAGAAUUUGGAAUUCUCUCUUUUCUCCGCUUCCCAGAACGACAGGAAUAAGCAGAAACGCGUCUGCUGCAGGAAAGGAUUGUCAUUGCUGGUUCUGAGUACUUGUUGACAUGUGGAUUGUGUUUCCUCAAAAGGGAGGGCUGACACUGCCCCAGCCACGAGCAAUUGCUGCUUUCCUGGCCCAACCUGGCCCCGGGGUCUGGCUGUGUGACCAGCAGCCCCUUGGAACUUCCUCACAUGCUUUUUAUCUAGGUUGGACCAGAGAUCCUGAUGUAUCUUUCUUCAGUUCCCAAAGCUGCCACACGUUAAAGUUCAGACUGAGAAGGCAUCCACCAAUUGUAAACAAUGUUCAAGAAGUCUGUUCUGAUGACUCUCUGUGCUACUUUCCGACCUGGAUUCCCAAGGCUGCUCCUCAUGCCUGUCAAACCUCCCUUCUGCUGCACGAUUCCAGGAGCUCUGCCUGGGCAGCCUUUUAAGGGUUGAAGGCUCCACAUGCACAACACAAGCCUGGCCUCUUCCCCGGGGAAAGAGUUAAGCUUCGUCCUCCACACCCUCAGCAUUUGUCCCAUUCUGCAGCAGUGAGGACAGAGCUCUUCAGCCUCCAGCAUGAGCUCAUGCCACUUCCACACUUCCACAGAAUUCCAACGGAGGGUCAACACAAUGUUUAGACCAACGGCAAGAAUGGAUCUCAUGCCAGAGACCAGGAGCUUGGACCUUGGCUUCUCCACAAAGGCCCUUCAGCCAUUUCCUGCAGACCUGCUUGGCCCUUUGACCUCUUUAUAGGGGCUCAGGGAAGGAGUGGGUGACGUGAGGGCCUGGAAGGGCUCAAGGGACUGAUGGAAGAGAGUUGCAAGUACACAGUGUUUCCCUGUUUCUUUCGGGCUAGAUGAGACAUCAAGGGGUGGGGGUGGAGAAGCCGUUCUAGUCAGUGAAGCCCAGGCCACAUUCCCGCUCAGGUCUUUUAUCUCCCAACCCCAACAUUCCCUUCAUCGCCCCACCCAUUCCAGGGCCUGAAAUAGCCCGAAACUUCAUCCAAGCCUAGGCCCAGGUCCCAAUUUUAGUUCCACAAACAUUUGGCUGCUCCACAGCUUGCAGGAUCCUGAGCUGGGUCCUGUGGGGGAUGCAGAGAUGAAUGAGGCCCAGCCCCUGCCUUCAGGGAGCUUGCAAAAUGUGUUCAGAUGACUGCAGUCAGAGGCGGAAGACGCCCAUGGAAAAAGAAAGAAAGACGCUCCCCGUGGAGGGAAUGGGGCAGGCUUGUGAAGGAGAGUUGGUUUUGUUGAAUCUUAGAGGAUGACUAGGAUUUCAAGAGGUGAACAUGAGGGACGCUGACUUUAGAUGGAGGGAACAGCAAGAGCAGGAAUAUGGAGGUGUGAAAUGCAGGGUAUGCUCUGGAACAUGGCCAGCAAUGUGGUUUGACUGGAGCACAUGGGAGAAUGUGGAGCCGCUUACAGUUUCCGUGGAUGCAUGAGUCUGUCUAGAUUCCCUACAGGCUGAGGACUCCCAAGUGCCAAUGACCCAUAGAUUCCCAGAGCUUUACAGAGCGGCCUAUUUGUUAACCCUCUGUUUAGGAGCAAAAAGGUGAGAAACUUGCACAGAGCUGUAAAGCACAUUAGUGACAGAGCAAGGACCGGACCCAGGUUCUCCCACCCCUAUCUGUUUUGGCUCAGUUCACAUCCCUUAAUCCAGGGGGUUUUAUCUAUGGAGUUGGCUGACGCAACAGACCCUGCCAUUCCUUAGGGGUCCAAGGUGAUGUAUGAAAUGAAC
rnacentral:lncRNA from 10 species